rfam:Brachypodium distachyon strain Bd21 chromosome 4, whole genome shotgun sequence.
AUGAUACUUCCUCCGUCCAACAAAAGAUGUCUCAAGUUUUGUCGAAAUUUGGAUGUGUCUAGACAUGACUUAGUAUAUAGAUGCAUUUAAAUUUAAUCAAAGAUAAAACAUCCUUUGUUGGACGGAGAGAGUACUAG